GGCUCCCAGUGAGGCCCACCUCCACCCGAGAAGGUCCUGCCUUCUCCAGGAGGACUGAGCACAGGAUGCAGCACCUCGGCCAAAGGUGUCCAGCAGGAGACUGAGGACCUUAGCGAGCAGAAGGCAGCACAAAGGACCCGCCCCUCCCCGCUGACCUCAGGGCCAGGCCAGAAAAGACCAGCCUUUCCCUGGACGCACAAGAGCCGUGGGCCUUCGCCACCCCUCCAACCCUGGCUCCCGGGUGUGGGGGGAAGGAGACACGUGAGGAAGCCACACCUCUUGAGAGCCCCGCUUCGUCACCCCAAACAGGGAAACCGGUACAGUGGGGCGGAACACACCCUUGAGGCCCCUGAGAGGACACUUCAGGUCCAGGGACCAUCGGCUGUGGUUUCCUCACGCUGCCCACCCCCUUAUGAAGGCUGAUGUCCACUUGAAAACCGCCCAGGACAGCUCCCUGCCCCGACCAGAAUCAGCCUGAUCAUAUACUGACCACAUGCCAUGGAUUGCGUACUGUGUUCCCCUCCAGGUUCAUCCAGUCACUCGUCCACCCAUCCAGCAAGUGAUUUCUGAGAACCUGUCCUGUCCGGGCCGAGGUCCAGACACUCACCAGGCUCCGUGGAACUUAGAGUGGCCAGAGCCGACGCUCCGGAAGGCUGGAGACCUGGAGCUCGCUGCAGCAAGCUGACCAGCCUCAGGACCCCGUGCUCCCAACCACAGCGCGAGGGGGCUUUGCCCUGUGCAGCUCAUGCCCGGGACCCGCCCCGUCCCGCAGGGCCUGCCCCCCACGGCCGUCCACCCCCACCCCACCUCCCCGGGAUCCUCUGCUGCAGAGGCUUCCCACCUCCUCUGGGCCCUGGGUGCUCUCUGAGUUCCCAGGGCGGCCUCAGUGUCCACUCAGCCAGCUCGCCCCCCUUCUGCAGAGGCAGGGGAGGUGGGAGAGAGAAGGGUUAGGGUUAGGCUCCCGGCUGCAGCUCUUGCGGCAUCAGCCCUCUAAUCACAAACGGAAAGCCGCUCUCACCCAUCGUGCACCCCUUCAGGGGCUGCCCCCGCCCCAGGCUGUACCCCCAGACUUCCAGCUGCCUCCAGCCCAGGCCUGUCCUGCUGUUCCCGCCAUGCUGGCCUGAGUGGCCCCCACUCCAUCUCCAGCCCUGCUCUGGCCUCGCACCUGAGACGAGCACCCCUCCUGAGAGUAGGGGGCCCAUAGGAGGGGCUUGGCCCGGGGCUGACCCGCAGGUCAGGGGUGGGUCCAGCUGCUCCCCGGCUCCCUGGGAGGUUUACGGCGGGCUGGGGGGACGGUGGUCUGAAGCGUGUCUUCCACCUUCCUGCCCCUGGGCGCUCUCAGCGGUGAGUGGGGCCAUCAGUCAGCACCCCAUUUCCCGGGCCUGAUGGGCAGGGAGGGUGGUACCUGGCCCCAGCAGUCAGGCUGCAGCGGGUAAGGGCUGAAACCCCCUUCCUGGGGGCGCAGAGGGAGAAGCCCUCCCGCCCUGGGGGUCCUCAUGCAGAGCCCUUGACAGAGGUCCCGUCAGCAGGACCAGGGGGCACAACAGCGACAGCUAGGGCUGGCCAGGACCUGGGAGGCCCAGGAGAGCCCAGGUCAGCCACCAGGCCCCUGCUGUCGCCCUGAGUAACACCAGGCUCCGCCCUCAGGGGUGACAGUCACCAGGUGCCGGCCGGGGAGCCCACAGAGGGGGCUGAGUGGCACCCCUGCCCAGGUCCCCGCCGCCCCCAGCCACCAUCACCUCCCCUGUCACAUGCCACGUGUCCCGUGGACUCCAGGGCUGGUGGCUGAGGGCACUGCCUCCGCCCCUGCGACAGACUCCUGGGUCUGGGGUCAAGGUCUGUGCUGCAUCCAUGGAGGAACUGAUUCUGGAGGCCCAGCCUGGCUGAACAGCUGUUACCAGCUGGCCGAGCACAGGGCCGCCUCCUUGCCCGAGUCCAGGCCGCUCUGGCAGGAAAUCACUGGAAUAGCACUGGGGAGACAGAGGAGGAGGUCAGAGUUCACCACCGCCCUCCCCCAGAGGCGGGGGGCAGAAUCUGUGGUUAUUUCCUAACGACCUUGCGCAACGAAAAGCAGCUGGACCGAGGUGCUGACAGCUUCAAGCCUGCUCCGGUCUCUCGGUCGAUUCCGCAUUUCAGAGAAAUCGCGCGUUUCAGCAAGCCCGUGGGGCCCGCGGGGAGGCGGCUGAGCACCCCGCCAUGGACUCGAGACCGUGGCUGCAGAGCCCUGAACAAGCGAGGGCCAGGGCGCCGGGGAACGUGCAGAGGGCGGGGGACCCUGGGAGCGCCAGGGCGCCUGCGCCACUUGCGUGCACGCGCGUUUGUGAGCCCCGCUGGCAGCCCCGCCCCCCCAGGCCCCCAGAUGUGCAGGCAUGUGUACAGGCGUGUGAACGCGUGUGUGCUUGUUCGGGUGUGAGCACACGUGUGUGCGUGUGAGCGUCUUGGGGGGGGGUGGAAGGAGGAGGUCCUCCUCCAGCCCCCUUCUGCUCCUGGACCUUGAAGAGGACAUGGUGAGGCCACCAUGUGGGCCCCCCGGCAGUCACCGAGAGAAGGCGAUGUGGGCCGCUGGGGUUCACUGAGGUCGCGCAGGCACUGCCGCGGUUGCGGGGGACACACGGAACCUCCGGGCGUCACGUGAGCAGGUGGCGUCCUGACCAGCCGGCCAUGAAAAGGCCCCAGAGCAGACACUGGAGAGGCGCAUGCGGCCCUCUCGGCUGGGCAGUGGGCCUGGUCCUGUCCAGAGGGCCUGAGCCCAGGCCGCCUACCUCCUGCCAGCGGCUCCAAGGGCAUGGGCUGACCGGACCUCCUCCCUGGAGCCAGGAAGGACGACUCGGACCAGUAGGGCUGUGACCACUCCCCACGGCCCUGGGGGAGGGAGCAUGGGUCCCCACCCGUCACCCAGCCCUGGGAGCCUCUCCCCUGGAGUCGGAGAGCUGGGCCCCCGGCAGCACAGGAGCUGGGGGAGGCUUCUAAGGGCGUCCGGCAUCCGGGUGGGCGGCAGGGUCUCCUUCCUUCAGGGAAACGGUGGCUGGGCUGGUUCUGCAGAUGGGAGGGGGUCCGUGCCAGGCAGCUCAGGGAAGGCCCCCACUUCCCCAUCUCCUCUGAUGGGGGCUUUGCAGGAGCUGGGGUCUGGGGGCUCCACUCACAGGGGUCUCCCUCCGGCUGGACAUCCUGAGCCCCGGCUGUGGGUCCACUCUGAGCCAGCUCUGCCCUCUGGGACCUCAGGAGAUGCCCUCGGGACUCCUGCUGGCUGGGGCUUGGCAAGCACGUGCAGGACGAUGGGAGACCCCUCAGCCAGGCGCCCCACCCCAGGGACACGCUCCGGCCAGGCCCCUGGCGCUCCCAGCCGGAUUCGAGCAGCAGGUGGUCACCCUCACCCAUCCUGUCGAGGCUGCCAGUCCAGGGGAGCGGAGGACCCGGGCGCCUGCUCAGUACUGCCGGACCUCCGGCCGCUCCAGGCAUGGACGGGGGCUUGGGGAUCCGGGCAGCUGCCGUCCACAGCAGACUAAGCAGCUGCUCCAAUGCGCUAAGACUCACCAAGGAUAAACACCAUCCAAUCACAGAAGAAGAGAAGGUGCAGGGAUUUUUUUUCCUAUAUAGAAAUAUUAAACUUCCGUAAAUCGGAAACAGAAAGCAAGUCUGAGAGCAGACUGGGUGACUGUUCGCAGCAGAAGACGGGCAGACAGGCCCCUCACAUGCAAGGAGCUCCCGCUGUUUAGGGCAGACAGGUCCUUCACAUGCAGAGAGCUCCUGUUGUCUAGUUGCUAAAUCACGUCCGAUUCUUUGCGACCCACAGACUGUAGCCCGCCAGGCUCCUCCGUCCUUGGGAUUUCCCAGCAAGAAUAGUGCAGUGGGUUUCCAUUUCCUUCUCCAGAGGAUCUUCCCGACCCAUGAUCAAACCCACCUGCACUGUCUCCCCCACUGACAGGCGGAUUCUUUACCACUGAGCCACCAGGGAAGCCCAGCAAAAGCUCUCACCCACGAAUAAAAAUUAUACUGUAAUAACUAUAGAAAUGUAAUUAAUGUAAGCAUUAAUAUAGAAGUCAAUCUUGAUCAUAGCCAAAGAAAUAAAUACUAAACAAAAUAGAAACUAAACAAAAAUGAGACUUUUUCAGUUUCUCAUUGGUUUCAGAAUGCCAGGGG